AUUAUCCUCAUCUAUUAUGAAAUAUAUCAUUCUCUGGAUACAUUAUGGGCUCUUUAAAGUAUGCACCAAGGUAGAAUACCAAAAUAAUUAAGUUAAAUUAAUAGAGGUUGUCAUACUUGCUUUGUCUUACUCUUACUGGAAUUUGGAUGGCUGGCUUUGCAGACUGCGUGGUGGUGGACACAGACAGAAGCACCCUGAGGUGUCAGAGGCAGUGUGGGAGCCUGAAGACUAAAAUAAGACUGCGGUACUCUACUUGAGACUUGGUUUUGUGAGUUGUCUGUUUUCUGAUUCCUUGUGAGUCAGAAACUCCAGCUCCCACUCUGCUGGUGGAGUCAUGCAUCCAGUGACUAACGUUUGUGCUAAUAAUACACCUAUGAAGUUAUGCGGACCUCAGAAUUGUCUCGACAAACAGAAAGAAAUUUCGGGACUCCGGCAGAGCUCCAUUCCAUCCUCCAGCAACUUGCAUUUCCCCAGGUUUUUCUAAGGAGGGUCCUGGGGGAAGCUGUCCUUUGCUGAGGCAGUGUUCUUCAGAAAUGACCACAGGAAAGCUCAACAGGCUGGUCCUUGGAGAAGGCACAGCUGCCUCAUCUUUGUAUGACCCUUGUGACCUGAGCCCUUUCUGUGGCCUCAUGUCCCCAGGUGUGCCUCACUCUCCCGGGGUCUAUGCUUUGUCCACUAGAAGUCAAACAUGACCUGUGUACAGAUAUUAAGACAACAGAGCCGGCCUGAGCAUAAACGUCUACUGCCAGAGAAAUUUGGCAUCCUGAGAAGAGGUUCCUCAGCCCGCUGCUUCCGUGGAUCCCUGUGUUAAAAUGUGAUGAUGAAGAUAGAAUCAGAACCUGGUAUGGUAUCUGUCAGAUAAAUCAGCGUCCCCCUGCCUGUCCACCCAGAAAAGCUAAGGAAUCAGGAUCUAGCAACUGUCAGUAUCCUGGAAAACAAGAGCAUAUAGACAUUAGCUUUCAUCAAUUCAUAUUCAGUGAGACUCCUCCAGAUCAAAGCCAGUUUUCCCCCAUGGCCUGAAGCUCUUUCUGAUCCUUUCCAAUGGUGCUUUUGAACCAGGUUCUCUCACAGACUGCUGCAUGCAUGAAUUCUGACUCUCACAGGCACACACUUUUAAUAUCUCAGGAGAUACUGUGUUCAAUGCAAAUGUGUGGGACACCAAGCUUCUCCACAUAGGUCAAGGAAUGGGGAAAGACACUGAGGCUCACCCAAAUCCAGCCGAAUAGGCAAGAAUGUAAAGGCUUUGUUUUCAAUGAGUUUAGCAAAAGUAUUCUGCCAAAGUAAUUUAAGUAAUAAUCAUUCAUAAAGAUAUUUGGAAGUUUCCAGCACACAUGACUCUUAAAGAACACAGGGAACCAGCCCCGGGUUUCAAUGAGCAAGUUGUGUCCUGACUUAUGUCCAGCAACAUUAUGGCUCAGUCACGUCUCCUACUCUCCUCCUCCUCCUCAGUCCCCUCUCCCAAACUUCCCUUUCUUUUGGGAGAGGGAGGGAAGACAAUGCCAUCACGACCAUGAAGGAAUUAAAUAAGAUAAUAGCAGAUGCUCCCUCUCCUCCGCCUUCCACCUCCCUUUAAAUGCUCAAGAGAAAGACAGCAAAGGCCCAGGAUCUCCAGGAUCGCUCUUCGCCCAUGCCUUCAUCAUGUCUCCCUGACCAGCUGUGAUCCUCAAGCAGACAGUUACUGCAAAAUUACAAACAAGCAACGGGGAUAGAAUGAUUUGGGAUCUGUUUCAAUACAAUUGACUGCCUGCUGGAACUAGACAUGUAGGCAUGCUCAGACUGUGUCCAUGAGCAAGAUGGAGAUGUCACAGGAUGUGGGAAGGUUGCCCUUCAAGAUGACAAUGUUCCAAGUGGGAAAGGUUGCAGCAUCAGGGAUCAAGCACCAAGGUUCCCAUGUCCUGCACCUCAACUCUCUGGAAAUAGGAGUGAUAAUAUUAUCUCCUCUUCCCAACUGCUAUGGCGAUUAUUCAAGCAAUGUCCAAGAAGAAGAAAUGUCCCACUGCCCGGUCCACUGCUCAUACAAGCUGGUGUCCUCACACACCUGCUUGUCAAGCACUAUUCUACUCAUCGAGCUUGCAAUGCAGCUGUAGAGCAUUCCAAGCAGGGUUCUUUGAUGCCUGAUUACAUUAUAGUCAAGACCCACUGCUGUCAGGUGACUUCAGAAGCAUACUGGGAUACCUCUUAUCAGAAUUUGGAUCUGUACGUUGAUCACUUGGGAGUCUUAGAAGCUAGGCAGACUCCACAACCCCCCUCCCCCAAGCUACAAGACCAAAAGAAUACAAAGAAAGACAGAAGAGAAAGAACCUGGGUUUCUAUCUGUGGGUGGAGCAAGACAAUGAUGACUCAUCCUGGAUUUGCUGGCCCUGGGUAGAGAACACAGUGUUUAUUUAGAGUUGAAUCUUGAGUGAAAGCAGGUGUAGACAACACAAGACAUCGCUGGGGAGAGUUUUCAGGAAGUUUGAUUUCUCAUCUCAAAUUCAUUAUGAGAUGUAUGGCCACACAUAAAUACACAAAGUCUUCCUGCCUUCACCUAAUACACACACACACACACACACACACACACACACACACACACACAGGCUGUGCUGUAUCAGGGUGUAUGUGUGAAAACAGGUCUUCUGUCAUAGCGAAGUCCUCCUCAUUAUUUCAUUACCUAGAUUACAGAUUCAAUAAAAUACAGAAUGUUCCUAAAUCUUGUAAUUGCUCAAAAGGGUAUUUGUCUAAAGUUUUGAAAUGUCUCAUCUUACCAUCACCCCUCCAUACAGAACACUCAGGUCCCCUGGCAUGUCUUAUUUUGUGACAAAAUCAUGUCACACAGAUUGGUUGUUGUACAGGUUAGGUCAGGUAAUAGAAUUUGAGUGUCAGAAUGUAUUUCUAGUUGUCACAGCAAAACGAUCCAAAGGUGAGCAACCUACAAGCAUUUUUUUCUUGAUUGAUUAAGCCUAAACUCUGCUCUUGACACCACCUAUCAGGUUCUCACGACACUAGAACCCCUGCUAGAACUCAGGUGCCUAUGAGUCCCCACAUUUGCUAUCACAAAUCUUUGAGGUUUCAAAACAGAAUGAAUGAAGGCCACUUUCCCUUUCAUCCAUAAGACAAACACAAUAUUAAUACUGAUAUUUAUCUGAUCCAAGAGUGAAAAACACACAACAGUUUCUCAGUGGGCUCCUUCAGCUUCCUCCUGAGAACAGCAGCCUGCACUAACAUGCUUUGCAAAGAGGCUUUACUAACAACAGCUGCUCAGAACAUCUGCGGUUUAGUCCUAUCUUAUUUUCGAUCUCCAUUGUUUCUGAAUGGUAAAUACUGGAGGAAGGACUCACUGGAAAUGUAAGAACUGGACUCAUUCACAUAGUCCAGAGUGUUCUUUCCCAAAGUUGACUGUUAGCAUGUGUUAUGGAAACAUCAAAUUCUGUUAAAUCCAAUCUGUAAAUCUUAUCAUGACUGUCAAGACUGUCCUGUGUGGAGGACUCUACACAUCUAUUCUCCUUUAUGUUUUCCUAUAUUUGCUAUUAUUUGAACCUUUCCUAUUUUGGGAAGAUUCUUCCCAGUUUUUAAGACUUCAAAGGGAUCUGUGAGAAAGGUCCAGAAAAAGUAGGAGGAGCAUUUCUCCAAAUGUUUAGACACCAAAAACGUGGAUUUUACUUUUUGAGAUUAUAAUUUGAUUACAACAUUUCUCUCAUCCCCUCUUCCUUCCAAGCCCUCCCGUACCCCUCCUCACUCUUUC
rnacentral:lncRNA from 1 species